rnacentral:lncRNA from 1 species
CCACUUUCUUCCUCCCCUUCCCCAAACAGUGCUGUUAACUAUGGAGUCAGGUCUGACUGGAUUGAAAGGGUAUAUUAAGAGCAAGAUGCUUUGGACCUGCUGGCUUGACUAUAGCAUGGUGCUGAGAUCAUGAGUUCAAUUCCUCAAAACACGGCAAACAAAACGGACAUGAAACAGAGGAUAUACAUAAUUUAAGAAACUUUAUAAGUUGCAUUAACAGUUUAAUGUUUAGAGGAGUGAUUGCUGAUUGGGGACCACUUGAACCAAACAGUCAACAUUUAUUAAGUGUUUAAUAUA